UACGUAGGGUGCGAGCGUUGUCCGGAAUUAUUGGGCGUAAAGAGCUCGUAGGCGGUUUGUCGCGUCGACUGUGAAAACCUACAGCUUAACUGUGGGCUUGCAGUCGAUACGGGCAGACUUGAGUUCGGUAGGGGAGACUGGAAUUCCUGGUGUAGCGGUGAAAUGCGCAGAUAUCAGGAGGAACACCGGUGGCGAAGGCGGGUCUCUGGGCCUUACCUGACGCUGAGGAGCGAAAGCGUGGGGGAGCGAACAGG
rnacentral:rRNA from 1 species